GUUUCAAUUCCUCAUAGGUAAUCUAUAAAC
rfam:Clostridium caminithermale DSM 15212 genome assembly, contig: EJ27DRAFT_scaffold00056.56